ensembl:piRNA 21ur-7220 ncRNA
UGUUUGUUUUGAACCAUAACA